ACUCUCCACAGAAUGCUGCAGGCGGAAGUCAUGAAGCCUUCGACCCGAGAACCGGCGCCGAAGCUCAACGGCGAAAACUUCAUAUCGAAGGUAAUUUCGCCGGCGAUUUGCGGAGAAACGUGCCCAAUUUGCCUCAUAGAAUUGAAGGAUCGUACAGCUGCCGUGCUUACAACGUGUAUCCACGCCUAUUGCAUAGGCUGUAUUCGUAAAUGGAGCAAUUUGAAGCGAACUUGCCCUCUCUGUAACGCUCAAUUCGAUUCAUGGUUCGCCAAAAUCAACCUCUCAUCACGAAGCUUCCGCAUAGAACGUUUGAAAACCUUGAAUUGUCCCGAUAAGCUCAAGAUUGGAGUCGGAUCUUCCCGGACAGACGCUCGCGGGAUUCUUCAGAGCACGAGGAAUGAAUUAAAUAGAGAAAGACGGUCGGAAAGAUCACUUACAUGGCGGCGAUCGUUUGGACGGCGAGGGCCGGAAUCUGUGCCUGCGGAUGUUGUUGCCGGGCGAGAACUUCAAUGGCGAGCAAGCAUAUACAACCGAUGUAUUCAAGCCCUUCCAUCUUCGGUCAGAUCAUGUUUAGAACUGAACAUAUUGGGAAGUCGUGGAGCCAAAGAAGCAAUUCUAGAGAGGAUUAAACCAUGGAUUCGAAGAGAGUUACAGGCCAUCCUGGAGGACCCAGAUCCAACUAUAAUUGUUCAUCUGGUUAUCUCACUAUUUGUGGCAAGACUUGAAGUUCCUUCCCCACAGCUUAAUGCUGAAGAUGACUUUCUUUCACCUUUGCGUCCCUUCCUCUUUGAAAAGACUGAUCUGUUUUGGCAUGAACUAAGAAGUAGAUGUAUUAAGGGUGUUGUUCACUGCUAGAUGAAUGCUACCCAGAAAAUUGGCAACCUAGGAAUGCAAGAACAUGAUAUCCAACCCUAAGCUUCAACAUAGUCGAUUACAAAUGUUUUGCAGGAAGUUCAUUACGCAUGGAAGAAUAUGAUUCAGUGGUUGAAUAUAGAACACUGGGUUGAUUGAAGAGAAGAUUCUGUUUGAAGAAAUAUUUUGUACUCAUUAUUUCUCUCCUGUUGAUUCUGGUUAUUCUUUAAACAAAUCAACAUUAAUAUUAAGAAAAUAAUUUAUCUAGGAAGGAAGGAGAGUUGUGGCUUGGAUGCAAGUUCCUUCUUACAUAGUCCUGAAUGAAAGAAAAAGAACCAUGAUGUGAGACUAAGACAUCUUCUGCUGCCAAGGAUUCUAAAGACGUAUACGGUUUGGAUAUGCGAGUUUGAUGUGCCUCUACCCACGUGUUGCUUCACGUUGAUGACUAAGUGCAUCUUCAUUCAACCCGCAAAUCAUUUCAAAUAGAGAAGACUCUAUAUGGGGAAACAUCAUGUAUUGGCUUUUCUCUCUGUCUGUGGAAUGGUUUCCCCAACAACGGAUCGAUUAGAGUUGUUGCUCGAUCAGGUAAGGGUUAUUGCUCCAUUGGGUCAGUUUUUCUAGUAUGAACUGGAAGAAAGAAACAUACAUGAAGACAGAGAGUUUUUGUCCUACAUAAGGUUCUGAAGAUGGUAGCUGGUUUGAAGGUAGCAAUCUGAUGGAUCAUUAAAGUGGAAGUAGAACACACUUGGGAGGAUUGGAAAUGGAAGCUUAGUAGAAUAUUAAGCAACUUGUCCUGUGUGGCUUUAGCAAUUAAUUAGCAGGGUGUUGAGAAUCUAGAUCUCAAUUUAAGAUGUUUAGGGUAUUUAUACCUUUUAUUUUUGCACCCAAAUUCUCUUGGGUUGCAAAUUGUGUAAUUUACACAUUGUUGACUACUUUCUACCACCACUUCCUGCCUUUUCUACCUUGUAUGUCUUCCAAACAUUUAGAGCAUGUUGUAAUGACUUUUUAAGUGGUUGGAAAAGAAAAAUACACUUUAAAAUACUUAAGUUAUUUCAAACA